CACUGAUGGGUCAGAAUCAUAGGGUUGAAGGGGACUGCAAGGGCCAUCAAUCCAACUCCUGUCAAUGCAACAAUCCACAGCUAAAAUAUCCCUACAAGGUGGUCAUGCAACUUCAGCAUUACAAUGCCCUGUGAAGGAGAUCCAGUGACAUGGAAAGCAAUGCUUUGAAAUGUGCACAAUAAGCUCUUGGACUCAAGGCACCUUACAAAAAUUAUAACUGAUUACAUCACUUAAGAAAUGUCUUCACCUGCUGCCAUAAGGAACCCACAUAGGGGGCCAAGGAUGGAGUUCCAGAGCCUGGGAGCAGCCACCAAGAGGAUCCCCUUCUGUGUUUCCACAGAGGUCCCUGUGAGAAAAAUAGGGAUUUUCCACAAACAAUGAAAUGUCACCCCUUAGGGAAUAUUCUAUUUGCUCCAAUGUACUGUGAGAAUAGAUGGAUAAGAAGAGAGGCAAGAAUGAAACUGUAAGUACAAAAAAACAACAACAUAUAAAUGUAAUCCCUUUUGAAGUUGAGAAGCUUGUAUCAACUAGCAGAAAACCACACAGACCUGGAACACCUACUAAGGAAGAUCAAAGGAAAAAGUGAAAAGGCAGGCUCACUGUUGAACAUAAAGAAACAAAAAUAAUGACCACCAAGGACCUUCACA